CCUACGGGAGGCAGCAGUAGGGAAUCUUCCGCAAUGGACGAAAGUCUGACGGAGCAACGCCGCGUGAGUGAUGAAGGUCUUCGGAUCGUAAAACUCUGUUGUCAGGGAAGAACAAGUAUGAGAGUAACUGCUCGUACCUUGACGGUACCUGACCAGAAAGCCCCGGCUAACUACGUGCCAGCAGCCGCGGUAAU
rnacentral:rRNA from 1 species